AUUGAACGCUGGCGGCAUGCUUUACACAUGCAAGUCGAACGGCAGCGCGGGCUUCGGCCUGGCGGCGAGUGGCGAACGGGUGAGUAAUGCAUCGGAACGUGCCCAGUAGUGGGGGAUAGCCCGGCGAAAGCCGGAUUAAUACCGCAUACGACCUGAGGGUGGAAGCGGGGGACCGAAAGGCCUCGCGCUAUUGGAGCGGCCGAUGUCGGAUUAGCUAGUUGGUGGGGUAAAGGCUUACUAAGGCGACGAUCCGUAGCUGGUCUGAGAGGACGACCAGCCACACUGGGACUGAGACACGGCCCAGACUCCUACGGGAGGCAGCAGUGGGGAAUUUUGGACAAUGGGGGCAACCCGGAUCCAGCCAUGCCGCGUGCGGGAAGAAGGCCUUCGGGUUGUAAACCGCUUUUGUUCGGGAAGAAAUCCUCUGGGCUAAUACCCCGGGGGGAUGACGGUACCGGAAGAAUAAGCACCGGCUAACUACGUG
rnacentral:rRNA from 1 species